GUGAACAGCUAGUCGGAAAGAUAAAAGAUAAAAAAGGGAAUGCUGCCAAUCCGGUUACCUUCGCUGCUCCUUUGGAGCGUCAAGGAUCAUAACACAGGCAGCUGUGUUGGGGUCCCAGGCGCAGUAGGGGUCUCGGGCCAGGACACAUUCACCACAGGAAGGAUACUUUCCACAGAACGCUGUUGGCGACUGGACGACGCCAGAGUCUGACCCAGCAUACACCGACCGAGUCUAGAAACAAUAAGUGAGGGGCGAAUGAAGCGGGAGAUGGAUAGUUGGAUCUGUGCGGCUGCUGCACUGGUCUGUCGUGGUGAAGACAGAGCUGAGCAAAAAGGCAACGCUCUCGAUUUACCGGGUGGCAGGGCACCAUGGAUGGCGGCGCUCCAAGGCAGCGGCCAAGACCAGCUCAUCUCGACAAUUUCACAAAAUAUGCGCUUAAAACGAUACAAACUAGACAACAAACCCGCAUCUAUGAUCGCCAACGCCUCCUGGACCUACGGUCACAAAAUGUUUUAAAUACUGAAAUUGUUUACUGUUUUUUGCUACUGACGGAUGUGAACAAGGCAACAGUGGAAAAUAAUGGAGGAAGAGAUGCCUGAGACGGAGAAAGCAAAGCUGCAGAGGUGGGCCAACUGCGAAUCUAAAGAGAGAUCCCAACAGACCACCACUUCCAUCAAUCGUUCUCUCCAACGUCCACUCAUUGGAAAACAAAAUGGAUCAUCUCCGACUCAAACUCUCUUCAAAAAAGGAGAUAUGUAAUAUAUAUAUGCUGCGCCAUCAUUCUGACGGUGUCUUGGCUGCGUCCAGCAGUACCGGACGAUGCUGUUGGCCUGGGGGGACUGAUGCUAUACCACACCGAUAGAAAAAAAAAGCUCUGCAUGAAUAGAGGCUCCUCUUAGACUGUUCCCAGGCAAUCGUCAGCAUCUAGGAAGGAAGCACAGUCCUCUGCAGGUGAAAAUGAGGAGAGCACUCUAGAUGCUUCACGCCCAAAUGCUGAAACAUGCCCAGCUGGCUCCUCCCGGCCCGCUCCAGCUUCCACAUCUUCUCCAUUAUCCUCUGCCGCUGCUAAACCUGCCGAUGGCACCACUGCUGCUUCAACCACAUCAGCCUCUUCAACCCAGGGAGCUACCACCCUCACAGCAUCCUCAUCAUCAUCCUACCCUGAGCCAGGAGAAGCGACUGCUUCAGGAGCCGGAAGCUCAACAACAACUGAUGGGGUGAAGCCCAGGAAACAGUGCCCUAUGCUCCAGCAUCAGAUCCUCUUCCACCAGGGUAAAAAUCCCAUUUGGAUGCUAAGAUCCUAUCCAGAUCCGUCUGACAUCACUGCUGCCAAGCAAACAUGAAUGUUGUGCAUUCCAUAACUAGAUAUAGUGACUUAAUAUCACAGUGGGUUUUUUUUAUUGUUUUUUUUUUUUUUUUUAAUUGCUGCUGCUUGCCUUGUCAAGGCUGCACUUUGAAGAAUGAGAUUGU